AUUGAACGCUGGCGGCAUGCCUUACACAUGCAAGUCGAACGGCAGCACGGGUGCUUGCACCUGGUGGCGAGUGGCGAACGGGUGAGUAAUACAUCGGAACAUGUCCUGUAGUGGGGGAUAGCCCGGCGAACGCCGGAUUUAUACCGCAUACGAUCCACGGAUGAGAGCGGGGGACCUUCGGGCCUCGCGCUAUAGGGUUGGCCGAUGGCUGAUUAGCUAGUUGGUGGGGUAAAGGCCUACCAAGGCGACGAUCAGUAGCUGGUCUGAGAGGACGACCAGCCACACUGGGACUGAGACACGGCCCAGACUCCUACGGGAGGCAGCAGUGGGGAAUUUUGGACAAUGGGCGAAAGCCUGAUCCAGCAAUGCCGCGUGUGUGAAGAAGGCCUUCGGGUUGUAAAGCACUUUUGUCCGGAAAGAAAUCCUUGGCUCUAAUACAGUCGGGGGAUGACGGUACCGGAAGAAUAAGCACCGGCUAACUACGCG
rnacentral:rRNA from 1 species